GCAGCCGCCGCGGGAAUACGAAGGGGGCUAGCGUUGUUCGGAAUCACUGGGCGUAAAGGGUGCGUAGGCGGGAUCUUAAGUCAGGGGUGAAAUCCCGAGGCUCAACCUCGGAACUGCCUUUGAUACUGGGGUCCUUGAGUCCGGAAGAGGUGAGUGGAACUGCGAGUGUAGAGGUGAAAUUCGUAGAUAUUCGCAAGAACACCGGUGGCGAAGGCGGCUCACUGGUCCGGAACUGACGCUGAGGCACGACAGCGUGGGGAGCAAACAGGAUUAGAUACCCCUGUAGUCCCUGUCUCUUAUAC
rnacentral:rRNA from 1 species